rnacentral:rRNA from 1 species
UACGUAGGGGGCAAGCGUUAUCCGGAUUCACUGGGUGUAAAGGGAGCGUAGACGGCGACGCAAGCCAGGAGUGAAAGCCCGGGGCCCAACCCCGGGACUGCUCUUGGAACUGCGUGGCUGGAGUGCAGGAGGGGCAGGCGGAAUUCCUGGUGUAGCGGUGAAAUGCGUAGAUAUCAGGAGGAACACCGGUGGCGAAGGCGGCCUGCUGGACUGCAACUGACGUUGAGGCCCGAAAGCGUGGGGAGCAAGCAGG